AGAACACCAAUCAUCCAUCCAUCAUUUACCUCCUCCAUAUUUCACUGGACCUGAAGACCAGUGAUUUCAGGACUUUGAAGACCAUGGAGAAAAGACUUGUUUUGUUCCUCUUCAUCAGAGUCUUCACACUUCAAUGCUAUGCACAGAAUGAGCUUUCAUUUAAUGAGCUGGCAGAACUUUAUCCAGAAUGGAAGAAUCCUGAUUGGAUGAGGCAAGCUAAUGAGGACCUGCUGCUUUCGGAAGUCACUAUCCCUGGUGCCCAUGAUGCAACAGCUUUACGCGGUGGAAGGUUUGCAGAAUGUCAGGCGUGGAGUUUAGAAGACCAGCUUUCAGCAGGGCUGAGAUACUUUGAUCUCAGAGUAGAUGGCUCACUGCAACUGGUUCAUGGACCUAUAAAAAUGAAUAUGAAGUUGGCUGAGGUGCUUGGCACCAUAGUAAAAUUUCUGAAGGAGCACAAUAAAGAAACUGUUUUACUUAGAGUGAAGCCAGAAAAUAAAAAGGUUACUGUAUUUGACAAGACUAUGGAAUUAUUAAAUCAAAACAGCAUAAAGCCAUUUGUAUACAUGUUAGAUGGAAGCAGUGACAACAAUCCAAAACUUAAAACUGUCCGAGGAAAGAUUGUUUUGCUAAAGCUUCCAGGUAAAUUUAAUUUUGGGAUAUCCUAUUUUUCUACACAUAAAAAAAAUGAACAUGUCGUCAGAAAUAUUAAUAAGAAGCUGGCAAUAAUAGUUGAACAUUUGACUACUGCCACUGAAAAAUGC